rnacentral:rRNA from 11 species
UUUUCUAUUAAAAAUACCUAGAUACUCUCAAGGCACUGAAUCCUGCCUGAUCUUGGAAGCUAAGUAGGUUCACCUCUAGUUAGUACUUAGAUGGAAGACCACUAAGGAGUACCAGGUGCUGGAGGCC